UGGGUCCUCAUUCUUACUUCAGGAAGCAC
rnacentral:piRNA from 1 species